UACGGGGGAGCAAGCGUUGUUCGGAUUUACUGGGCGUAAAGGGCGCGUAGGCGGCCAGCACAAGUCAGUUGUGAAAUCUCCGAGCUUAACUCGGAACGGUCAACUGAUACUGUGCGGCUAGAGUGCGGAAGGGGGCAACUGGAAUUCUUGGUGUAGCGGUGGAAAUGCGUAGAUAUCAAGAGGAACACCUGCGGCGAAGGCGGGUUGCUGGGCCGACACUGACGCUGAGGCGCGAAAGCCAGGGGAGCGAACGGG
rnacentral:rRNA from 1 species